AUGCUCACUUUGGCGGCACAUUGAUUAAAAUUGUAACAAUACAGAGAUGAUUAACCUGGUCCCUGUGCUUGGAUGACAUACAAAUUCAUGAAACAUUUCAUAGCUGU